AAGUCGUAACAAGGUUUCCGUAGGUGAACCUGCGGAAGGAUCAUUAACUAAUAUAUAUGUAUGCCGGAGUCAAAUCUUGCAUAUGUAUUAUUAAACAAAAACCAAAAUUUACCAAUCCGUGAACUUUAUUUUAUAAAGACCUCUGUCUUUUUUUGUUUACCUCAAAAAGCAGAAACUAGUACCAAUUCCACAAAUUUUUAUUAACCAAUAUUAACCCAUUACCGUAAUGUUGUUUAUUCAGCAUACUAAAACAAAAUUACAUUUUAGAAUGUUUUUCGAUGAAGUCUAUCAGCAAUGAUCGAUUGUAAAAAAGAAAACUUUUUAAGAUGAACCAUUAUAUCAAUAUAAUAAAGAAAUACAACUCUUAACAAUGGAUAUCUUGGCUCUC
rnacentral:misc_RNA from 1 species